GGGGGCGUAGCUCAGAGGGAGAGCGCUGGAAUCGCACUCCAGAGGUCGCGGGUUCAAAUCCCGCCGCCUCCACAA
rnacentral:tRNA from 1 species